rnacentral:rRNA from 1 species
UACGGAGGGAGCUAGCGUUGUUCGGAAUUACUGGGCGUAAAGCGCCCGUAGGCGGCUUUGUAAGUUAGAGGUGAAAGCCCGGGGCUCAACCCCGGAAUUGCCUUUAAGACUGCAUCGCUUGAAUCCGGGAGAGGUGAGUGGAAUUCCGAGUGUAGAGGUGAAAUUCGUAGAUAUUCGGAAGAACACCAGUGGCGAAGGCGGCUCACUGGACCGGCAUUGACGCUGAGGUGCGAAAGCUAGGGGAGCGAACGGG